CUGGCCUAUUAAAUAGACGAUAUAUUUAAAAGUAUAUCGCGCUUCUUAGAGGGACAAGCGGCGUCUAGCCGCAUGAAAUAGAGCAAUAACAGGUCUGUGAUGCCCUUAGAUGUCCGGGGCUGCACGCGCGCUACACUGAAAGAAUCAGUGGGCGUUAUACCUAGUUCGGAAGAACCGGGUAACCCAAGUAAAUUCUUUCGUGCUUGGGAUAGGGAAUUGCAAUUAUUUCCCUUAAACGAGGAAUUCCCAGUAAAUUCGGGUCAUAAGCUCGAGUUGAUUACGUCCCUGC
rnacentral:rRNA from 1 species